UUCAGUUCUAUAUUUUUUAUGCAAUGGCUCAUACCAGUGUUGCGUGGGAAAUGCAUAUUUCGCGGUGAUGAGCCAACCCACCAUUUCCGGUAGUAUCGAAUAUAUUUGUAAAUUGGUGGUGGAGCGUAAACACGGCUAAGUGCGUUUUCCUAAUUCUAUUGAAGAAUACAAUAGAAUUAAGACUGGAUUUUAUUCGAAAUUUGGAAUAAAGGGUGUAAUUGGAGCAAUUGAUUGCACUCAUGUUGGCAUAAUUGCACUUGCCUUGUCAAACACAGUUGUACCGCAUGAUUAUAUGAACAGAAAAGGUUAUUAUAGCAUUAAUGUUGAAGCGGUUUGUGACGACGAACUAAUUUUCCGGCACGUGAAUGCAAAAUUUCUCGGCUCAUGUCAUGACUCCGGUAUAUGGACUACUUUGCCAGCAAGGAUAAAGCUUAUAAGAGAACACUCUGAUGGAGCUUUUAAAUGGCUUUUGGGUGAUUCGGGAUAUCCAUUGGAGCCAUGGCUUCUUACACCGGUGACAAAUCCUGAAAACCCAAAUGAACAAUAGGCAAGAAACACGAUUGAAAGAGCAUUUGGAGUUUUAAAACCACGCUUUUGUUGCAUUUCAAAAGAGAGUACAUUGCAGUAUAAACAUUCAAAAGCUGCAUUAUUUGUAUAUUCUUGUACAAUAUUUCACAAUAUAUUACAAAAACGUGGCAUUUUUAUAGAUGAAACCGAAAUAUUGACAGAUCGAUCACAUCCUGAAAAUGUGGUAGCAAUAUCUGAAAUCCAUUCCUGGGAGUAUUAC